GGUUAAGCGACUAAGCGUACACGGUGGAUGCCCUGGCAGUCAGAGGCGAUGAAGGACGUGCUAAUCUGCGAAAAGCGCCGGCGAGGUGAUAUGAACCCUUGACCCGGCGAUGUCCGAAUGGGGAAACCCAGUGUGAUUCGUCACACUAUCGUUAACUGAAUACAUAGGUUAACGAGGCGAACCGGGGGAACUGAAACAUCUAAGUACCCCGAGGAAAAGAAAUCAACCGAGAUUCCCCCAGUAGCGGCGAGCGAACGGGGAGCAGCCCAGAGUCUGAAUCAGCUUGUGUGUUAGUGGAAGCGUCUGGAAAGUCGCACGGUACAGGGUGAAAGUCCCGUACACGAAAAUGCACAGGCUGUGAACUCGAAGAGUAGGGCGGGACACGUGGUAUCCUGUCUGAAUAUGGGGGGACCAUCCUCCAAGGCUAAAUACUCCUGACUGACCGAUAGUGAACCAGUACCGUGAGGGAAAGGCGAAAAGAACCCCGGCGAGGGGAGUGAAAAAGAACCUGAAACCGUGUACGUACAAGCAGUGGGAGCACCUUCGUGGUGUGACUGCGUACCUUUUGUAUAAUGGGUCAGCGACUUAUAUUCUGUAGCAAGGUUAACCGUAUAGGGGAGCCGAAGGGAAACCGAGUCUUAACUGGGCGUUAAGUUGCAGGGUAUAGACCCGAAACCCGGUGAUCUAGCCAUGGGCAGGUUGAAGGUUGGGUAACACUAACUGGAGGACCGAACCGACUAAUGUUGAAAAAUUAGCGGAUGACCUGUGGCUGGGGGUGAAAGGCCAAUCAAACCGGGAGAUAGCUGGUUCUCCCCGAAAGCUAUUUAGGUAGCGCCUCGUGAACUCAUCUUCGGGGGUAGAGCACUGUUUCGGCUAGGGGGCCAUCCCGGCUUACCAACCCGAUGCAAACUACGAAUACCGAAGAAUGUUAUCACGGGAGACACACGGCGGGUGCUAACGUCCGUCGUGAAGAGGGAAACAACCCAGACCGCCAGCUAAGGUCCCAAAGUCAUGGUUAAGUGGGAAACGAUGUGGGAAGGCCCAGACAGCCAGGAUGUUGGCUUAGAAGCAGCCAUCAUUUAAAGAAAGCGUAAUAGCUCACUGGUCGAGUCGGCCUGCGCGGAAGAUGUAACGGGGCUAAACCAUGCACCGAAGCUGCGGCAGCGACACUAUGUGUUGUUGGGUAGGGGAGCGUUCUGUAAGCCGUUGAAGGUGGCCUGUGAGGGUUGCUGGAGGUAUCAGAAGUGCGAAUGCUGACAUAAGUAACGAUAAAGCGGGUGAAAAGCCCGCUCGCCGGAAGACCAAGGGUUCCUGUCCAACGUUAAUCGGGGCAGGGUGAGUCGACCCCUAAGGCGAGGCCGAAAGGCGUAGUCGAUGGGAAACAGGUUAAUAUUCCUGUACUUGGUGUUACUGCGAAGGGGGACGGAGAAGGCUAUGUUAGCCGGGCGACGGUUGUCCCGGUUUAAGCAUGUAGGCGGAGGUUCCAGGUAAAUCCGGUACCUUUUAACGCUGAGGUGUGAUGACGAGGCACUACGGUGCUGAAGUAACAAAUGCCCUGCUUCCAGGAAAAGCCUCUAAGCAUCAGGUAACAUCAAAUCGUACCCCAAACCGACACAGGUGGUCAGGUAGAGAAUACCAAGGCGCUUGAGAGAACUCGGGUGAAGGAACUAGGCAAAAUGGUGCCGUAACUUCGGGAGAAGGCACGCUGAUAUGUAGGUGAAGCCCCUGCGGGUGGAGCUGAAAUCAGUCGAAGAUACCAGCUGGCUGCAACUGUUUAUUAAAAACACAGCACUGUGCAAACACGAAAGUGGACGUAUACGGUGUGACGCCUGCCCGGUGCCGGAAGGUUAAUUGAUGGGGUUAGCGGUAACGCGAAGCUCUUGAUCGAAGCCCCGGUAAACGGCCGUAACUAUAACGGUCCUAAGGUAGCGAAAUUCCUUGUCGGGUAAGUUCCGACCUGCACGAAUGGCGUAAUGAUGGCCAGGCUGUCUCCACCCGAGACUCAGUGAAAUUGAACUCGCUGUGAAGAUGCAGUGUACCCGCGGCAAGACGGAAAGACCCCGUGAACCUUUACUAUAGCUUGACACUGAACACUGGUCCUUGAUGUGUAGGAUAGGUGGGAGGCUUUGAAGCGUGGACGCCAGUCUGCGUGGAGCCGUCCUUGAAAUACCACCCUUUAAUGGCUGGUGUUCUAACGUAGACCCGUAAUCCGGGUUGCGGACAGUGUCUGGUGGGUAGUUUGACUGGGGCGGUCUCCUCCCAAAGAGUAACGGAGGAGCACGAAGGUUAGCUAAUCCUGGUCGGACAUCAGGAGGUUAGUGCAAUGGCAUAAGCUAGCUUGACUGCGAGAGUGACGGCUCGAGCAGGUGCGAAAGCAGGUCAUAGUGAUCCGGUGGUUCUGAAUGGAAGGGCCAUCGCUCAACGGAUAAAAGGUACUCCGGGGAUAACAGGCUGAUACCGCCCAAGAGUUCAUAUCGACGGCGGUGUUUGGCACCUCGAUGUCGGCUCAUCACAUCCUGGGGCUGAAGUAGGUCCCAAGGGUAUGGCUGUUCGCCAUUUAAAGUGGUACGCGAGCUGGGUUUAGAACGUCGUGAGACAGUUCGGUCCCUAUCUGCCGUGGGCGCUGGAGAAUUGAGGGGGCUGCUCCUAGUACGAGAGGACCGGAGUGGACGCAUCACUGGUGUUCGGGUUGUCAUGCCAAUGGCACUGCCCGGUAGCUAAAUGCGGAAGAGAUAAGUGCUGAAAGCAUCUAAGCACGAAACUUGCCCCGAGAUGAGUUCUCCCUGACUCCUUGAGAGUCCUGAAGGAACGUUGAAGACGACGACGUUGAUAGGUCGGGUGUGUAAGCGCAGCGAUGCGUUGAGCUAACCGAUACUAAUGAACCGUGAGGCUUAACCUU
rnacentral:rRNA from 1 species